rnacentral:rRNA from 1 species
CCUACGUGUGGCAGCAGUGGGGAAUAUUGGACAAUGGGGGAAACCCUGAUCCAGCGACGCCGCGUGAGUGAAGAAGGAUUUCGGUACGUAAAGCUCUAUCAGCAGGAAAGAAAAUGACGGUACCUGACUAAGAAGCCCGGCUAACUACGUGCCAGCAGCCGCGGGAAUACGUAGGGGGCAAGCGUUAUUCGGAUUUACUGGGUGUAAAGGGAGCGUAGCCGGCAGGGCAAGUCUGGAGUGAAAUGCCGGGGCCCAACCCCGGAACUGCUCUGGAAACUGUGAAGCUGGAGUGCAGGAGAGGUAAGCGGAAUUCCUGGUGUAGCGGUGAAAUGCGUAGAUAUCAGGAGGAACACCGGCGGCGAAGGCGGCUUACUGGACUGUAACUGACGCUGAAGCACGAAAGCGUGGGUAUCGAACAGGAUUAGAUACCCGUGUAGUC